rnacentral:rRNA from 1 species
UACGUAGGGGGCAAGCGUUGUCCGGAUUUAUUGGGCGUAAAGAGCGUGUAGGCGGUUUGGUAGGUCCGCUGUGAAAACUCGAGGCUCAACCUCGAGACGCCGGUGGAAACCAUCAGACUAGAGUCCGGAAGAGGAGAGUGGAAUUCCUGGUGUAGCGGUGAAAUGCGCAGAUAUCAGGAGGAAUACCGAUGGCGAAGGCAGGUCUCUGGGCUGACACUGACGCUCAUGCACGAAAGCGUGGGGAGCAAACAGG